rnacentral:rRNA from 1 species
UACAGAGGUCUCAAGCGUUGUUCGGAUUCAUUGGGCGUAAAGGGUGCGUAGGCGGCUCGGUAAGUCGGGUGUGAAAUCUCGGAGCUUAACUCCGAAGCUGCAUUCGAUACUGCCGUGCUUGAGGACUGGAGAGGAGACUGGAAUUUACGGUGUAGCGGUGAAAUGCGUAGAUAUCGUAAGGAAGACCAGUGGCGAAGGCGAGUCUCUGGACAGUUACUGACGCUGAGGCACGAAGGCCAGGGGAGCAAACGGG